GAUGAACGCUGGCGGCGUGCCUAAUACAUGCAAGACGAGCGAACGGACGAGAAGCUUGCUUCUCUGAUGUUAGCGGCGGACGGGUGAGUAACACGUGGAUAACCUACCUAUAAGACUGGGAUAACUUCGGGAAACCGGAGCUAAUACCGGAUAAUAUUUUGAACCGCAUGGUUCAAAAGUGAAAGACGGUCUUGCUGUCACUUAUAGAUGGAUCCGCGCUGCAUUAGCUAGUUGGUAAGGUAACGGCUUACCAAGGCAACGAUGCAUAGCCGACCUGAGAGGGGGACCGGCCAACCGGGAACGUACACACGGUCCAGCCCCCUAGGGGAGGCAGCAGUAGGGAAUUUCCCGAAAUGGGCGAAAGCCUGACGGAGCAACGCCGCGUGAGUGAUGAAGUUUUUCGGUUCGUAAAACUCUUUUUUUAGGAAAAAAAAUAUGUUUAAGUAACUGUGCACAUUUUGACGGUACCAAAUAAAAAAGCCACGGCUAACUACGU
rnacentral:rRNA from 1 species